CAGGAAACCCCUGACAGUGUGGUGGAACCAUCUUUCUGUGGUUCUUACACUGAAUCUGAGCCGACGUGCAUGAUGCAUCAUCAGAGGCCGAAGAAGAUGGUGGCUUUUGAAGGUGCUUUGACUGGGAGGCGAUUCCUGGGUUGUCCUGUGCAGCAGGAUAUAGGUGUGAACUGUGGGGUUGUGGAGUGGGUGGAUGGUCCUUGGCCAGAGAUUCUACAAAGGUGCCUAACCAGGAUUUGGGACAUGUACCAUGAGCAGAACUUGGGAAGGGUGAAUGACAAACAAGCCCAUGAGAAGGAGGUGGCCAAGCUACAGAAGGAAAUUGAUUUCCUGUCAAACAACUACAGC
rnacentral:rRNA from 1 species